GCGGGGCGAACGCGGGGAACUGAAACAUCUCAGUACCCGCAGGAAGAGAAAGAAAUUAUCGAUUCCCUGAGUAGUGGCGAUCGAAAGGGGAAGAGCCCAAACCGGCUGCGUUACGGCGCGGUCGGGGUUGUAGGGCCGCCAACAAGAGUUCAUGACGUGAACUGGAACCGUCUGGAAAGUCGGUCCGCAGAGGGUGACAGACCCGUACAGGCAAGCGUCAUGCGCCGGAGGCGGUACCUGAGUAGGGCGGGACACGUGCAAUCCUGUCCGAAUCCGCGGGGACCAUCCCGCAAGGCUAAAUACUCCCGGAAGACCGAUAGUGAACCAGUACCGUGAGGGAAAGGUGGGAAGUACCCCGAGCAGGGGAGUGAAAUAGACCCUGAAACCGUUCGUUUACAAGCGGUCGGAGCUCUUAUAUGGAGCGACGGCGUGCCUUUUGCAUAAUGAGCCUACGAGUUGCCUCCGUCCGGCGAGGUUAAGCGCUUAAGGCGCGUGAGCCGAAGCGAGAGCGAGUCUGAACAGGGCGUUCAGUCGGUCGGAGCAGACGCGAAACCUAGUGAUCUACCCAUGGCCAGGGUGAAGUCGCCGUAACAGGCGAUGGAGGCCCGAACCGGUUUACGUUGAAAAGUGCUCGGAUGAGCUGUGGGUAGGGGUGAAAGGCUAAUCAAACUGGGAGAUAGCUCGUACUCCCCGAAAUGUCUUUAGGGACAGCCUCGUCUUAGCUUCACGGAGGUAGAGCUACUGAUAGGAUGCGAGGGCUUCAUCGCCUAUCAAUUCCUGACAAACUCCGAAUGCCGUGAAGUGUUGGACGGGAGUGAGUCGUCGGGUGCUAAUGUCCGGCGGCGAGAGGGAAAGAGCCCAGACCUCCUGCUAAGGCCCCCAAGAGCGGUUUAAGUUGACAGAACGAGGUGACAUCGCAGAGACAGCUAGGAUGUUAGCUUGGAAGCAGCUAUUCAUUUAAAGAGUGCGUAACAGCUCACUAGUCGAGCGAUGACGCGUGGAUGAUGAACGGGCAUCAAGACCGCCGCCGAAGCAGAGGACUCUUUUUAAGAGUGGUAGGGGAGCAUUCCGGUCGGCGCCGAAGGUGUGGCGUGAGCCAUGCUGGAGCGUCCGGAAAAGAAAAUGUAGGCAUGAGUAACGACAACGCAUGUAUGACCAUGCGCACCGCAAGCCCCAGGUUUCCUGGACAACGCCAGACGUACCAGGGUUAGUCGGGAGCUAAGGUUAACCCGAGAGGGGAUACCGAUGACGAUGCGGUUAAUAUUCCGCAACCCGCCGUGCAGGCGAGGACAUGACCGAGGAGUGGCACUGCCGCCCCCUGACGGAAUAGGGGGUUUAAGGACGUAGGGCGACUGAAAUCCGAAAGUACGGGGAUCCUUCGGGAGACCCGACAGCGCAGGUAAUCAUACUCGCAAGAAAAGUGUCCGAGCGUCAAGCGCACGGGGGCCCGUACCGUAAACCGACACAGGUGGGCGAGGAGAGUAUCCUAAGGUGCUCGAGUGAAUCACGGCUAAGGAACUAGGCAAAUUGACCCCGUAACUUCGGGAUAAGGGGACCCCGCGAGGGGCGCAGAGAAAUGGCCCAGGCGACUGUUUACCAAAAACACAUGGCUAUGCGAAAUCGUAAGAUGACGAAUAUGGCCUGACACCUGCCCGGUGCCGGAAGGUUAAGAGGGGGAGUCAUCGCAAGAGAAGCUCUGAAUUGAAGCCCCGGUAAACGGCGGCCGUAACUAUAACGGUCCUAAGGUAGCGAAAUUCCUUGUCGGGU
rnacentral:rRNA from 1 species